rnacentral:ncRNA from 2 species
CAUAACAAUGAGCGCCGAGCUGUAGUGCCUAAAUGCCUGAAACAGGUACAGGGUUUUACAGCCGUGGCUGUCAGCUGUUGUUGACCUGCCGCCAGGGCCAGAGAAGAAAUUUUCUGGCCUCCCGAUCUUGGAAAGGUGUUCCAUGACCGUAUUG